rnacentral:ribozyme from 16 species
ACAAAAAGAACAGAAAACACGGAACAUGCCGCAUAGAUGACACAAAAUUUAACUGCCAGAUUUACUUUUUGUUUUUGUUUUGCUUUUG